GAAGGUAUAGCUCAGUGGUAGAGUGCAUGACUAGCAUGCAUGAGGUCCUAGGUUCAAUCCCCAGUACCUCCA
rnacentral:tRNA from 1 species